GAUGAACGCUAGCGGCAGGCUUAACACAUGCAAGUCGAGGGGCAGCGCGAUGUAGCAAUACAUUGGCGGCGACCGGCGCACGGGUGCGUAACACGUAUGGAACUUACCCUUUACUGGGAGAUAGCCCGGAGAAAUCCGGAUUAAUAUCCCAUAAUAAACGAAGUGGCAUCACUUUGUUUGAAAGCUCCGGUGGUAAAGGAUGGCCAUGCGCACGAUUAGCUAGUAGGUGAGGUAACGGCUCACCUAGGCUACGAUCGUUAGGGGCCUGAGAGGGUUAUCCCCACACUGGUACUGAGACACGGACCAGACUCCUACGGGAGGCGAGCAGUGAGGAAUAUUGCGCAAUGGAGGCAACUCUGACGCAGCCAUGCCGCGUGCAGGAAGAAGGCGCUACGCGUUGUAAACUGCUUUUAACCGGGAAGAAACCCNCGACGUGUCGGAGGUUGACGGUACCGGAGGAAUAAGCACCGGCUAACUUCGUGCCAGCAGCCG
rnacentral:rRNA from 1 species